UUUCCGUAGGUGAACCUGCGGAAGGAUCAUUAAUGAAUUUAUUGACAAGGUUGUCGCUGGUCUUUACAGGCAUGUGCACGCUUUGCUUCAAUUCAUCCAUUCUACACCUCUGUGCACUCUUCAUAGGCUGGCUUAUUGGGGUUGUCACUGUAUGACCCUUGGCUUUUCUAUGCAUUUUAUUACAAACAUAUCUAGUUCAGAAUGUCUCUAUUGCGAAUGUAACGCAUAUAAAUAUAACUUUCAGCAACGGAUCUCUUGGCUCUCGCAUCGAUGAAGAACGCAGC
rnacentral:misc_RNA from 1 species